GUAUUAAUAGGUUAUCGGGCUAUCUUUUUUCCAUAAAAUAAUAACAGGUUAUUGUAUCAGAGCAAUCAUCCUCUUGACUUGUGGGUGAGUUAGGCAGCAAUAAUAUCAUGACAGUCGUGAGUAGUCCUUAGAAUUAGGGCUACAAUAUCAAUAGUCACGAUUUUGGUUUCUAGAAUUGGGUAGCAACAUCAAAUUUCUUUGAAGAAGAGAUUCAGUGGAAUCAAGGAUUCCAUUCGACAACAACAAUUCCAGUUCUGAAUCAAUUUUCAUCAAGAACAACAACAUUUGAAGUAUAAAUUAGUUCUGGGUUUCAAGUUCAGCAGCAAAUAAACAUGGAAUUCGCAUCGGAGAAGAUUAUGGCAAUUAGCCAAGAAGGUGGUUGAUAUUAAAGAUUUUGUAGGUGUCAAGGAUGUUAAAGCUUUGUCAGGUGUAAAGGAUGUUAAAGACUCACUAGAUGUAAAGGAUGAUGUUAUUAGUGAAUCAACCAUGGAAGAAUUUAAAUACGGUGGGAUAAUUCAUCAAAUUGAUGAGUAUGAGAAGGAAGACUACAUGUUUGGGCGAGUAGUUCUUUGUGAUCUUAUAUUAGAGCAUACAAUUCUUUUUCGAUUUUAUGUUAUCAUCUUGUUUAGCAAAUUGAGUGAUGUUUUUCUGGACGGUUCAAGUAGCACUUUGAAGAUAUCCAUAAAUAAGAUUUAAGUAAGAAAAACAACGUACCGGGGGCUAAAAGUAAUUGAUAUUGGCAAUGAGAAUUCUAAAUCUGAACCCGAAUUGCAUUGUCAUUAGAUGGGUAUAUUCAUGUGCAUAACGAUAUUGGCAGAGGGUUAAAACAAUUAAAGUUGACAGAUACUGGUUUGGUCUGUGAUCCGAAAUGCAAUAGUGGUUCACAGCCUCCAGCUGAUCAAAGGAUUCCUUUCGAAUAUUGUUAUGACAUGAGUCAUGAUGCACUUUGCAAGGGCUCCAUGAGAGAUUUAAGUUCUGCAAUUGAUCCACAAAUUUUCAGCCUAAUAAAUCUAGUCAACUUGAUUAUAGGGUCAAUUCAGAACAGAAAUGUGACUAUGUGGGUUUGGGAUCCGGGUUCCAUAAUCUGAAUUAUGGAAACAUCUUUCAAAUGUGGAAUUUUUAGGGCAAAAGUCUUUGAAGGGGAAAUGCUAUAACAGGAGGUGGUAGUGAAGUUUGGUCAAUAUAUCAUUGGAGGUUUAUUGGUUAUUGUUCUUUGGAUCCUCUUUUGUUUAGUGGAGAAUUAUUGUUUAGUUAGUACAAUAGGCUUGAGUGGGGUAUUCAACUUUUAACACAUCAGUUCACUCUAUUGAUGUGGGGUACUCAUUUUGAUUGGAUGCAUAUUCUAUGCAAUCCUUCGUGCACUCCAUACUGCAUUACCUUCGGCGGAUACUGUUGUAGUCUUCACUGUUGGAAUAAAGCACAUGCAUUUGUAUUUGAUACUUGUGAUUAGUGGGUCUCUUAUUAUUAUUUUGACUUUUGAGGUCAAAAGUCUUAUAAGGGAAGAAUAUUGUUACGGGUCAAAAUAAGUAAAGGGGGUUAGAUUUAAUUGUUCUAUAGCGUAGGGGAUUAGUGGUUAGUUAGUAGCUAUAUAGUGUGUGUGUUGUAACAGAUUGAGGUAUCGAUGUAUUGAUUGGGUUUACCCUCUUC